GCCAGAGCCAUGCAAGCGCAGUUCUCUUCGGACAGAGCCACUGUCUCAAGACUCUGCCCUUCUUCAAGAGAAGAGCCCAGAAGAAGAGAGAAUGACUGCUAGGCCCUUUAUGGCUGGAUUCAGGUUACCAAAGACGUUGGAAGAGGUGGCUAUGGACAUCACCUGGGAGAAGUGGAAGCAAAUGGACACUGUUCAGAAGUCCAUAUACAGAAACAUGUUGGAAAAAUAUAGAAACCUGGUUUUGCUAGAUGGGAAGCUUGAACGUGGGGCCAAGACAUCAAGAGUAGAGCAGCAGGACAUUUCAAAAGAAGAUUAAUCUCAAAGAUUAGAGAUGGAAGAACUUGCAAAGAGAAAGUCUGUACCGGAAGAAAUCUGGAAAUCUAGAGGCCAGUUUAAGAAUCAGCAGCUAAACAAGGAGAAUAAUCUAGGGCAAGAGAUAGCUACCUGCACAAAAAUUCCUACCAGAAAAAGAGACAUAGAAUCUAAUGAAUUUGUGAAAAAUUUUACUGUAAGAUCAAUACUUGUUGCAGAACAGAUAGAUCCUAUGGAAGAGAAUUGUCAUAAAUAUGGUACAUGUUGAAAGAUGCUCAAACAAAACUCAGAUUUAAUUAUACAAAGAAAGUAUGAUGGAAAAAAAAAAACCUUGUAAAUAUAGUGAAUGUGGGAGAACCUUCAGAGGCCACAUCACUCUUGUUCAGCAUCAAAUAACUCAUUGUGGAGAGAGACCCUGUAAAUGUACUGAGUGUAGAAAGGGAUUUAAUCAGAGUUCCCACUUAAGAAAUAAUCAGAAAACUCUUUCAGGAGAAAAGCCCUACAAAUGCAGUGAGUGUGGGAAGGCCUUCAGUUAUUGCUUAGUUCUUAAUCAACACCAGAGAAUUCACAGUGGAGAGAAACCUUAUGAGGGUACUGAAUGUGGCAAGACAUUCAGUCGUAGUACAUACCUUACUCAGCAUCAAAGAAUUCACACUGGUGAGAAGCCCUAUACAUGUCUUGAAUGUGGAAAGGCUUUUAGUCAGAACACACAUCUUACUCUACAUCAGAGAAUCCAUACUGGAGAGAAACCUUAUGAAUGCAAUGAAUGUGGUAGGUCCUUUAGUCAGAGUGCACAUCUUACUCAACAUCAAAGAAUGUAUACAGGAGAAAAACUCUAUGAAUGUAAUGAAUGUGAGAAAGCCUUCCAUGAUCACUCAGCUCUUAUUCAACAUCAUAUUGUCCAUACUGCAGAGAAACCCUAUGAAUAUCAUGACUGGGAAAACUUUCAGUUACUGUUCAGACCUCAUUCAACAUCAGAGAAUGCACACUGGAGAGAAACCAUACAAAUGCAAUGAAUGUGGGAAUGCCUUUAGUGAUUGUUCAUCCCUUAUUCAGCAUCAAAGAACUCACACCGGAGAAGAGCCUUAUGAAUGUAAGCAAUGUGGAAAAGCCUUUAGCAGAAGCACAUACCUUACUCAACAUCAGAGAAGUCACGCAGGAGAGAAACAGUAUAAAUGCAAUGAAUGUGAGAAAACUUUCAGCCUGAGUUCAUUCCUUACACAGCAUAUGAGGGUUCAGACUGGAGAAAAACCCUACAAAUAUAAUGAAUAUGGAAAAGCUUUUAGUGACUGCUCAGGACAUUUUCAGAGAACUCACACUGGAGAGAAGCCCUGUGAAUGUAAUGACUGUGGGAAACCUUUCAGUUUCUGUUCAGCCCUAAUUCAACAUAAGAGAAUUCAUACCAGAAAGAAGCCCUGACUGUACCUUCAUACCAGUAAAUGCACUGACUGUGGAAAAGCCUUCAGUGAUUGGUUAGCACUUGUUCAACAUCAGAUAACUCAACACUGGAGAAAAACCGUAUAAAUGUACUGAAUGUGGAAAAGCCUUCAGUUGGAGUACAGACCUCAAAAAUCACCAGAAAACUCAUACUAGUGAAAAAUCCUAUAAAUGUAAUGAAUGUAGAAAGGCCUUUAGUUACUGCUCUGGUCUUAUUCAAUGUCAGGUCAUUCAUACUAUAGAAAAACCUUAUGAAUACGGUAAAUGUGGCAAAGCCUUUAGGCAGAGGACAGACCUUAAAAAACAUCAGAAAAUGCAUACCGAAGAGAAACCCUAUGAAUGUAAUGAAUGUGGGAAAGCCUUUAGCCAGAGCACAUAUCUUACAAAACACCAAAAAAUUCAUAGUGAAGAGAAAUCAAAUAUACAUACUGAGUGUGGGGAAACCAUUAGACAAAACUCUUCUUUUUUACAACAAUAAAAACCUCACACUGGAGAGAUUCUCUGAAUGCCUUAAGAAUUUGGUUAAUAUGGAGACCCUUCCCAGGGAAACAGAAGGAGGAUCGUGAAAACUGUUGACUACUUAGAAUGAUCACAUGGUUUAGUGGAGAGAGCAUGAUUCUGGGUUUUAAAAGUCAUGGAUCUCAAUCUCAGCUCCUAUUACUAACUAGAUCUUUUACUUUGGGGUAAGUCACUUCAUAUCUUUAGGCCUUAAUUUCCUCAUCUGAAAAACUGGAAGGCCUGACUUGUUGAGCUUUAAGAUCCUCAAUUAUUAUAUUUACUAGGAAUUCAAGUUUCUAUAGAUGUGGUUCAGAAUUGUGACUUAUUUAUUGUACAUCAGGUGUGA
rnacentral:lncRNA from 1 species